ACUCGAGUGGCGAACGGGUGAGUAACACGUGGGUGAUCUGCCCUGCACUCCGGGAUAAGCCUGGGAAACUGGGUCUAAUACCGGAUAGGAGCCAUUUUUAGUGUGAUGGUUGGAAAGUUUUUCGGUGUAGGAUGAGCUCGCGGCCUAUCAGCUUGUUGGUGGGGUAAUGGCCUACCAAGGCGGCGACGGGUAGCCGGCCUGAGAGGGUGGACGGCCACAUUGGGACUGAGAUACGGCCCAG
rnacentral:rRNA from 1 species